UACGGGGGGGGCAAACGUUGUUCGGAAUUACUGGGCGUAAAGGGCUCGUAGGCGGCCAACUAAGUCAGACGUGAAAUCCCUCGGCUUAACCGGGGAACUGCGUCUGAUACUGGAUGGCUUGAGAUUGGGAGAGGGAUGCGGAAUUCCAGGUGUAGCGGUGAAAUGCGUAGAUAUCUGGAGGAACACCGGUGGCGAAGGCGGCAUCCUGGACCAACACUGACGCUGAGGAGCGAAAGCCAGGGGAGCAAACGGG
rnacentral:rRNA from 1 species